UAAGGAAUAUUGGUCAAUGGACGCAAGUCUGAACCAGCCAUGCCGCGUGAAGGAUGAAGGUCCUCUGGAUUGUAAACUUCUUUUAUAGGGGAAGAAACCCGGAAAUUCUUUUCCGGUUGACGGUACCCUGGGAAUAAGCACCGGCUAACUCCGUGCCAGCAGCCGCGGUAAUACGGAGGGUGCAAGCGUUAUCCGGAUUCACUGGGUUUAAAGGGUGCGUAGGUGGGUCUGUAAGUCAGUGGUGAAAUCUCCAAGCUUAACUUGGAAACUGCCGUUGAUACUAUAGCUCUUGAAUGUUGUGGAGGUGAGCGGAAUAUGUCAUGUAGCGGUGAAAUGCUUAGAUAUGACAUAGAACACCAAUUGCGAAGGCAGCUCACUACACAAAUAUUGACACUGAGGCACGAAAGCGUGGGGAUCAAACAG
rnacentral:rRNA from 1 species